UUUUUUUUUUUUUUUGAAGUUUUGGAAAUUAUUUCCAGAAACUAAUAAAGGCGGUGAUUUACUGAUAGUAUUGAGUCUGUGAGAUUGUAACAUAUACUGAAACAACCUUGUGGAUGGUGGUGAAAUCUUUUUCGCAAACAUCGCAAAGAGUUCAUUUAAUUUUUGGAUGCUCUCAAGAGCACGUUCCAAAAUAUCACAGAUGUCAAACAGAACAUGCCGUCUAAAUCAAAAAUGUUAAAUUCAGAUGAGCUAUUUAUAAGUAGCUGUAAAUACAAUCUCAGCCAAUAUAUGAUAUCACCAAAGGUUUCAAGCCAAUAAUUUUACAGGAUUUAAUCAUUCCACUGCAUCUCAUGCACCUUCAUGAUACUGAUUUAUUGUGACCGCAGGUUAUAACUGGCAGAGGAUAUAUAUGUAUGUUUUAGGUUCCUUGUUGCUGAAGAGGGAACCCUAGCUACAUCAGAAAAAUUUUACCGGUUAUAUUUUAAAAAUUAGAACUUUAUAUAAUAAAGAAAGCAGCAACCAGGCCUAGCACCACACCAUAAAUAUGAAAAUUAAAUAUUAUAUUUAUUAAAUAUAAUAGAAAUGGAGGAAAAGAAAAAAAUGAGUGUUUUGUAAGAUAUAAAAACAUACUAUAGCACUGCUUAAUACAACUGGAAAUUUUACUUUAGCAAGUAUAAAAAUAGAGAAAAAUGCAACUUUAAGCUCUUCAUAUUAGUAAUGGGUAUGUGAUAUAUCAAUGUAUAUAAUUAGCCAGUGGUCUUUAGAUGUUACCCUGCAUAAACAGAUCUGAUACUAAUGCACUGCCUGAUAGGCUAAAAAUGUCAAAAGUUAGGUGUUAAGUAACCUCAAUUGGAAAGAUAUUAGAACCUCCUGAGAAAGCCAUUUCUCUAGGAUAGAAAUUUACCUCAGUGACCAUAUGGUAUACACACUUGGCAUCACAGCAGAGGUGCCUGUGUGUUCAAAUCUCAUGUAAUUGUAACCGUUGUCUUUCUCUCCUACUCAAAUCAUUCUUUGUUUCCACUGGUAUCCUGUUGAAGUGAUUCAGAGCUAUUUCAGGUCAGAUGAAUACCAUCAAUUACAACAUCUCUUUCAACAUUUUAUACGCAUUUCUGCUGUGAAAUUUGAACCAAUAGUAUAUAAAGCCUAAGAGUGAACACCGAUCCAAACAAACACUGACAAAUUCACAGAAAUCGAGUGAAAACCGGAUAGUAUAAAAUUCGUCAAUUCUCUGGUAGAAUAGUGAAGUAGCAGCCUUCAAUUUUUAAACAUGAUUGUGAGCUUAUAAUUGGACAGGAACACGCAUCUUUUUUUUUUUUUAGAACAAUGCUAAUUAUACGAAGUGAAGGUAAAUCAUGAGUACUGUAAAAUAGUACAUAACUAAAACUCUUUAAGGGAAAUGAGGGCACACCCAGUUAACUCCUGGUUAGUACAGAAGUAUAAAAAACAUAUGAAGGCUAUUUAUUUAUGAAGAUUUCUAAGGAUUCUAUGCCUUUCCAAUUUAAAGAGCAGUGCAUCUUAAAAAAACUGUCUUACACUAAUAUUGGACUGGGGGUAAUCAGAUUUGCACUCGAUGUGGCCUUACAUUCAAAGGCCCGCUGGGCAUUGUAAGACAGAGACAUCGUCAACUAGAUUGUUGUGCUGAUUCACAUACUUUGCCAUGUGCUCUGCUACAGAGCUGGAUUUAUAUGCCCUUAAGAAGGGAGAAGAAAAUCAAUUAAAUAUAAAUAAGGAAAUGUGAUAACUGUAUCAUGUUAGGCCACAUAGCUUCAGAGUAAGAUGUCAUUAACCCUUAUUUCACAAAGGAAAAAAACGGAAGGAGGGAAUGGUGAACAUGAAUAAAAUGGUUAACCUCUUGACUUACGAAGAUGUUUCUUGAGUAUUUUAUCUACUUGUUUUUCUCCAUGAAAAAAAAAAUCAUGCAAAAUACAGACAUAUCUAUAGAACUUGGUCUGUAGCUAGAUCUGACCCCAGGCAUAACAUUUUUUGACACAGGCCUUUUUAUAAAUGCCUCCUAUUUGAUGAAGCUUUGGUGAGAUAUGACUGCAUGGUAGGAUGCUUUUUCCUAGGAUAGGAUAUGGUGCUGCUUGUACUUGCCACCUUUUGUAUGAUUAUAUGUUUCUAUGUUGGCCUGUCUUGCUAAGAUAUGGUGAAUAAAGCCUGGUGUGAGCUGUCUAUUUGCAAAGUCACUAGAAUGCAUGUUUCAUUUGUUCUUUCGUAAUGCCAAUUUGAACUUUCUCCCUCUCUAUCUAUUCAUAACCCAGUUGUGAAGGUAAAAUAUAGUUUCCUUGAAUGAUAAUGCAAUCCUUAAAUCAAUGUCAUAAUCUUUGCUACCACUGAAAUAACAUCACAGAGGCCACAUGGUUGCUUGUCUUCUCACAGCUCUUUAGUAUGUACUACUGCGUGGGUAAAAUGAGUUGUGUUUUUUCUCCUCACUUCUUUUCUAUCUGAAGAGGAAUAGUUAUUCUUUUAUACGUUCAUAAAUACAAAAUUUCACAAUCUUGGUUACUUUGUUUACUUCCAAACAGACCUGAUUUCUUAACAUGGAUGAUUGCAUGUCUGGUUUUUCUGCUCCUCCAAAUCUGAAAUUAUUUGUUUGCUUUCUGGGUGUCAGCCCAAAAUGCAGAUGGUGGGGAGGGAUAUAUUUAUUUUGUGUUGUCUUAUGCACUCUGUACCUAUAUUUGCAUUCCUUCCCAUUUCCACCUUGCCCUUCUUUUUUUACAGAUUUGAUUUUCCCUUCCGUUUAUGAAAACCAGAAUUGAGCCGCACUGUACAUCAGACAUGGUGCCCAGAAAAUAUGUUUUUGUUCCUCUGUAAUUUCCUUCACAACUUUCAUGCAAAGACAGUUCCCAAUCAAUUUCACAUACCUUCCAAUCUCUUAUAUUGGAUUUUAACUUUUUUAUUCCCCUGAGAAAAGUGAAAUGCUGAGUAUGAAGGCUGUCAACUGUUGAUAAGCCAGCUAAGGAAGUUCGCUUUUGGAGAAUGUAUCUUAAAUAAUUAUACAGGAAAGUGAAUAUCUUAAUAUAGUACUCUGUUUAAGGUACAUCAUGUGCACAUGAAUGCCUAAAAACCUCGAUUCUUUGUCUAUUUCCCUUUAUGUGUAAAUUACAUAAAUUACAUAUAUAUUAUAAAGAGAGAGAAUAAAAGAAUAAGGGGUAUUAUAGUGGCAGCUUUUUGCUGCAUUGGUUUUGACUGCAUCAGCAUUUCUAUUGUGGACCUCUAUUUUCAGGGGUUUUAAAGACUCACCCAUAAAAAUUUGCUUCAGGAUUAAAAGUCUUGUAAGAUUUUUUUUUUAGGUAUCUAAUUUUAAACAAAUAUAUCUUGUUUUUAUAUUCUAGGAAGGAAAUAAAUGGAGUUUACUAGUUCAAAUUUGCGCUAUUAUAACUUUUAAUAAACUUAAUUUUUUUAGCAAAAACAUAGUCCAUAGUCUAUUGAUGGUUUUUUAAAAGAAUCAGUUAUUGAUACAAAGAAAAUUGCCUGCUUCAUCAGUGUAGUAGUCUAUCUUCAAGAUGUUUUAAAAUCUGUAUACCUAUAUUUAACAUUAUCUUGAUUCCAGCAGUGGAUCAGUAUGAUAAUGAACACAAUUUAUGCCAUCCAUAUGAGCUAUCUGGUAAUAUAGAUUUGGAAAUAUAUAGUGUGUGUGUGUGUAUGUGUGUGUGUAUAGUGUGUGCGCAUGUAUGUAUGUGUGUGUGUAUAAAUAUACAUACACAUACAUAUUAAACAGAUAGAUUAGGGAGGAAAGCUCCCAUAAAUUUAGUUUGUCAAAUAAAUACCAUAUGCUAUAUUAAAAAAUAAUUGCACAUACAUUUGUCUUUCAGAGCCAGAAUGAGAUGCAAGCAAUUGCAAAAGAAAGUUGUCUCUUGGGUAAACAGUAGACAUUUUAUAGCUUCUUAUGAAAAUCAUUUUUCCUUUCUAUAUUGUGGUUAUGGGAGAUUAAAAGAAUAUAAUGCAUAAAAUUAAUGCAGACUUUAUUUAAAUAACAUUACAACAUGAAGCAGAGAGAAACACUAAGAAAUUAAAUAUUUAGGCUAUUAUCUCUUGGUAGUCUGACAAUACUUUGCCUUUAUUUUAAUUCCCCAUGAUAUUUUCAGUUGUGGAGAGGAUAUUAAAAUCUAACUUUAAGCUUCUGGAUUGUUCACAUUACACUCAACACUACUUCAUUAAGUUUUUGAUAAUACGUAGUCUUCUGUGUGCUAGGAAAGAAAUAAAUAACACAUUUAUUUGCUGAAUGAGCUUUAAGGUUUGCAAGUUGUUAGUGGUUUUUUUGCCCACACAGGAUUCUAUACAUUUAUAACAUCUCUAACCUGGCAUAUAUAUAUAUAUAUAUAUAUAUAUAUAUAUAUAUAUAUAUGUAAAUAUAUAUUUUUUCAGAUAGCUUCUACUGACAAACACAAAGCUUGUUUGUGUGCAAAUAUAAGGCUAAAUAAAUGGUGCUAAAGUGUAUUAUGACUGUCAGAUAUAAUCAGGCAAAAUUUUGUGGUGCUUAAAUUAAUUUUUUCAUUGAUUUUAUUGAUCAAUGCAUUGAACAGUGUUUAUUAUUCACAAGUUGUCUUUUAUUAGUAAAUCAAGGCCUCAUAGCACAUUGUUAAAUAAAAUGGUUGACUAGUCUAUGUAACAGCUCACCAAGCUACUCUCUCUUCAACUCCUUAUAAUGUUGCGUCAUUAAAGGUCAAGGGGUCAUGCUAUUAAUCUCAUCGCUGUAGACCAUUAACAUGACUGAACUUUUCCACAAAGUACUUAUGUUUACAAUGCUAUAACCCUUUGACUGCUGCGGCAACCUUUAACCACACAAAUGUCACAAGCUAGAAUCAUCAGCAUGGUUCUUGCCAUGGCAAUCAAAGAGUUAAGGGCUGUGCAGUGAUUUGUUUUGUAUUUAUUAAUUUAUAUUUAUUUUGUUUCCAUUCAAGGAGGGGAUUUUGGGUGGGGCAGUUUUUGUCUGCUGUAAGUGUCUUAACCUAGGGAAGGGUUAAAUGGCUUUUUAUACUAUUGCAUCUUCUGUAUUUACCAUCAAUUCAUUGUGUUGUAAUUAAAAAAAAAACUGUCAAUAAAUAAGAGAAAAGAAAAA
rnacentral:lncRNA from 1 species